AGUGAACGCUGGCGGUAGGCCUAACACAUGCAAGUCGAACGGCAGCACAGUAAGAGCUUGCUCUUACGGGUGGCGAGUGGCGCGCGGGUGAGGAAUACAUCGGAAUCUACUUUUUCGUGGGGGAUCACGUAGGGAAACUUACGCUAAUACCGCAUACGACCUACGGGUGAAAGCAGGGGAUCUUCGGACCUUGCGCGAUUGAAUGAGCCGAUGUCGGAUUAGCUAGUUGGCGGGGUAAAGGCCCACCAAGGCGACGAUCCGUAGCUGGUCUGAGAGGAUGAUCAGCCACACUGGAACUGAGACACGGUCCAGACUCCUACGGGAGGCAGCAGUGGGGAAUAUUGGACAAUGGGCGCAAGCCUGAUCCAGCCAUACCGCGUGGGUGAAGAAGGCCUUCGGGUUGUAAAGCCCUUUUGUUGGGAAAGAAAAGCAGCAGGUUAAUACCCCGCUGUUCUGACGGUACCCAAAGAAUAAGCACCGGCUAACUUCGUG
rnacentral:rRNA from 1 species